AUGCACCACUCGCACACUCCGGUGCGUCCGCGCUAUCCACAUCCAUCUGUCGACUGACGGCUACGGUGUCCUAGCC
rnacentral:sRNA from 1 species